CGCUCACCGGUUGCAGCAAUGUAAGCGGGUGGGAGCGGCGAAAGGGUGCGUAACACGUGGGUAAUUUGCCGUGAAGUUGGGAAUAACUCGCUGAAAGGCGAGCUAAUGCCGAAUGUGAUUGCCGGGAGACAUCUUCUGGUUAUGAAAGUUGGGGACCGAAAGGCCUGACGCUUCACGAUAAGCCCGCGACCUAUCAGCUAGUUGGUGAGGUAACGGCCCACCAAGGCGAAGACGGGUAGCUGGUCUGAGAGGACGACCAGCCGCACUGGAACUGAGACACGGUCCAGACACCUACGGGUGGCAGCAGUCGAGAAUUUUUCACAAUGGGCGCAAGCCUGAUGGAGCGACGCCGCGUGGGGGAUGAAGGGCUUCGGUCCGUAAACCCCUGUCAUUUGCGAACAAUGCUCUCUCAAUAACACUGGGAGAGUUGAUGGUAGCGAAAGAGGAAGGGACGGCUAACUCUGUGCCAGCAGCCGCGGUAAUACAGAGGUCCCGAGCGUUGUUCGGAUUCACUGGGCGUAAAGGGUGCGCAGGUGGUGAGGUAAGUCGGAUGUGAAAGCUCGGAGCUCAACUCCGGAA
rnacentral:rRNA from 1 species